rnacentral:rRNA from 2 species
UACGUAGGGGGCAAGCGUUGUCCGGAUUCAUUGGGCGUAAAGAGCGUGUAGGCGGCCAGGUAGGUCGGUUGUGAAAACUGGAGGCUCAACCUUCAGAGGUCGAUCGAAACCAUCUGGCUAGAGUCCGGGAGAGGAGAGUGGAAUUCCUGGUGUAGCGGUGAAAUGCGCAGAUAUCAGGAAGAACACCCGUGGCGAAAGCGGCUCUCUGGAACGGUACUGACGCUGAGACGCGAAAGCGUGGGGAGCGAACAGG